rnacentral:lncRNA from 1 species
GCCUUGUCUAUGAAACACAUAGAACACAUAAUUGAAUAUUAACAACUUCUGGGCAAACACGCGGUCCUUCUGCAGCUUUCAAACAUGGAGGACUGAGGAGAAACACCAACGCAGAAGGUAGCCUUGUCACAGCUCCAUUCCCCCAGUUCCCUCCUGUCCCUCUGCCUCAGUAAUUUUCCACUCUACCUGCCAGCCACGCCCACCCCGUCAGCUCAACUCCACUCACCUGCAAGCACAGCUGCAGCUGAUUCCCAAUCAGCCCUGCUUAUAAGCCUCCCCUGCACGCUCACACUCAGCCAGAUUGUUCUUCUGUGUCCAUGCAAGACUCUCCAGCACUUCUUACCUGCCUGACCUCCUGUUGCUGAACCUGAUUGCCUCUGACCUGCCUGCACUGUCUGUCUCCUGGUAAACUCACCAGCCUUCCGUCCCUGACCACGACUUCUGCCUCAGCGUUUCUGGUUCCUGUCUGCUCACCUGGUCCCGACUUCGCUGCUGCUCAUCCCCAGUCUGCUCAGCUGCACCGUCGGCCCCCUCUCCUGUCGAGGCUGCAUGAUCACCUGACAGGCCUCUGUCACCCCACUGGGUCAUGGCUUCCUCUCCUCUACUCUCUUCUCUGACCCUUCUCUCCCCUCAGCCAUCAGCAGGAGGGUUCCCCCAUGUGAGUCUGGUCCUGCCCAAGGUUUCUUCCUGUUACAGGGCCAAGGCUGCCGGGGUCCAGAAACAUGAUCCGAACCCUGCUUGGUGAUGGCUGCCUCUCCUCUCCUGUAAAGCGCCUAGAAUUUUUUUUGACUGAAACAGAUGCUUUAUUAAUAAAGACUGACUGAUCCAACUGGGACAUCCAAUCUUUUAAAGCAUUAUUACCUUAAUGUCUGACAGUUUUACCUUAGAAUACACCAAUUUAAAAAUAAGUUUCCAAGUUGGAGUGGUUGUAAAUUAGUAGUUUCUUCUUGUUAAAUGGUGGAUGAAGUAUCUGAGUGGCACUUGUAUCUUUGAGCAUAUAGGUAUUUUUUUCUACCUUUUUUGUCUAUCAAAUGCACCAAAUAAUGUGGAGGGACCUGGAGGUUGAGAAGAGACCCUCUUUUGGUCCAUUUAGAGUUCACCUGAGACCUGUGGAACCAGUGGAAGAAAGCAAGAAAAGGAGAACUGUGCACUUCUCAGCUCUAGAUAAAAGCUGUAUUUGAGAAUUUGAACCAACUGGUGCAGUAAGACGUAAGCCUGGCUAACAACUACACAAAAACUAAAUAACAUCCUUAGCUGAAAAGCUGGACUUUGCAACACUGAAGAUCUUCUUUGGUCAUUUUUUCAUACGAUGGCUCCCUCUGCUUCACUAUUACAUUUAUAAAGCUAAGAUUUGCUCUUAAAUACUCACAAAGUAUUUGACUAAUGGUAAACAAGAACACAAGAACGUGGUAUAUAAUGCAGAAUAAGAAGCAAAUGACUUAAGCCUUCUCUGUAGUUUUAUUCUAUAGUUUCAAGAAUGCUUUUGUUCUACUGGAAUCAACUAAGGGUAGACAUCACAUUUUGACAUUCUGUUUAGGUCA